rnacentral:rRNA from 1 species
UACGUAGGGUGCGAGCGUUGUCCGGAAUUAUUGGGCGUAAAGGGCUCGUAGGCGGUUUGUCGCGUCGGGAGUGAAAUCUCGGAGCUUAACUCCGAAACUGCAUUCGAUACUGCCGUGCUUGAGGACUGGAGAGGAGACUGGAAUUUACGGUGUAGCGGUGAAAUGCGUAGAUAUCGUAAGGAAGACCAGUGGCGAAGGCGGGUCUCUGGACAGUUCCUGACGCUGAGGCACGAAGGCCAGGGGAGCAAACGGG